CUGUAAAUAGGCUAGACUGGGUUCUGUCCCCCCAGGGAGGUCUCCCAUCUCACAAGGAAGAGAAGCUGAGACGAGGACCUAACCUGUGUUGAAAGAAAGAGAAAGAAAGGAUGGAGGGAAGAUGGAGGGAGUGAUCAGGAAGAUUCCAAGGCCUGGAAGAAUCAGGCAGGUCCUCCAUGAAUGAGAGGACUCAACUGAGGCUGGUGAGGGGCAGAGCCAAGAUUCAAGGCCAGGCCUGUCCCACUCCUGAGCCGAAGUUCUCAGCCACCAUUUGAAGCUGAAUCUCAAUCCUCCGCUCCGUGGACACAGUUCUAAGAGCCACGUGUGAUGAGUUCAGCAGAUGGAAACCACAGCGUCACCCCACGGAGACAGACGGCGGGGCUAAGAAGGCUGACUCCCCCUGGGUAGGCAAACAAACUGCCCCCCCAACUGCUUCUGCACCAGCCAUGCAGCCUCCCCUCCCCCAGCCCCUAAAUCACUGCCUGGGCCUUUGUUCUUCCCACAGCUGCUCGGCAAAUUCCUUGAUUUAAAAUUAUGAUCACAGGUUGAAGUGCUACUUAAAAUAAUUUUGCCAAAUGUUCCAUCUCUCUGCG
ensembl:lncRNA